rnacentral:rRNA from 1 species
GAGUUUGAUCCUGGCUCAGGAUGAACGCUAGCGGCAGGCCUAACACAUGCAAGUCGAACGGUAACAGAGAAGAGCUUGCUCUUUUGCUGACGAGUGGCGCACGGGUGCGUAACGCGUAUACAAUCUACCUUUUACAGGGGGAUAGCCUUUGGAAAUGAAGAUUAACACCCCAUAGUAAGUAAUUAUGGCAUCAUAGUAACUUUAAAAUUUCGGUGGUAAAAGAUGAGUAUGCGUUCUAUUAGCUAGAUGGUGUGGUAACGGCACACCAUGGCAACGAUAGAUAGGGGCCCUGAGAGGGGGAUCCCCCACACUGGUACUGAGACACGGACCAGACUCCUACGGGAGGCAGCAGUGAGGAAUAUUGGACAAUGGGCGAGAGCCUGAUCCAGCCAUGCCGCGUGCAGGAAGACUGCCCUAUGGGUUGUAAACUGCUUUUAUAUAGGAAGAAACCUUUCCACGUGUGGAAAGCUGACGGUACUAUAAGAAUAAGGAUCGGCUAACUCCGUGCCAGCAGCCGCGGUAAUACGGAGGAUCCAAGCGUUAUCCGGAAUCAUUGGGUUUAAAGGGUCCGUAGGUGGAUAAUUAAGUCAGAGGUGAAAGUUUGCAGCUCAACUGUAAAAUUGCCUUUGAUACUGGUUAUCUUGAAUUAUUGUGAAGUGGUUAGAAUAUGUAGUGUAGCGGUGAAAUGCAUAGAUAUUACAUAGAAUACCAAUUGCGAAGGCAGAUCACUAACAAUAUAUUGACACUGAUGGACGAAAGCGUGGGGAGCGAACAGGAUU